rfam:Triticum urartu cultivar G1812 contig11437, whole genome shotgun sequence.
CUUAUACUCCCUCCGUCCCAAAAUUCUUGUCUUAGAUUUGUCUAGAUACAGAUGUAUCUAAUACUAAAAUGUGACUUGAUACAUCUUUAUUUAGACAAAUCUAAGACAAGAAUUUUGGGACGGAGGGAGUAUUUA